rnacentral:rRNA from 1 species
AAAAAAAAGAAGUGCUUACUGCAUUUUUUCUUACACAUGUGUUUUUCUUUUUUUGAAAACUUUGCUUUGGUAGGCCUUCUAUAUGGGGCCUGCCAGAGAUUAAACUCAACCAAAUUUUAUUUAAUGUCAACCGAUUAUUUAAUAGUCAAAACUUUCAACAACGGAUCUCUUGGUUCUCGCAUCGAUGAAGAACGCAGCGAAAUGCGAUAAGUAAUAUGAAUUGCAGAUAUUCGUGAAUCAUCGAAUCUUUGAACGCACAUUGCGCCCUUUGGUAUUCCAAAGGGCAUGCCUGUUUGAGCGUCAUUUCUCCCUCAAACCCUCGGGUUUGGUGUUGAGCGAUACGCUGGGUUUGCUUGAAAGAAAGGCGGAGUAUAAACUAAUGGAUAGGUUUUUUCCACUCAUUGGUACAAACUCCAAAACUUCUUCCAAAUUCGACCUCAAAUCAGGUAGGACUACCCGCUGAACUUAAGCAUAUCAAAAGUGGGAGGAAAC